UCUUCUAAAAAUGUCAGAAGAAUAGGCCAGUCCCCUUCUCUUAAGAGAGAGUUUAAGGACCACAUCAGCUCUGCGGGGUUUUGGAAGCGCUGGCCCUAAACCCUGCCCAACGAUUUUAAAAAAGAAAAUUACAGGCCUCCUUGUGUUCUCGGGAAUAUGCAAAUAGCGCGGCGCGGGCCUCCCAAGUCUGAGAUCCUAGGCUCGGGGCUGGGAGCCGAAUGCCCGCGGGGCUCCCUGGGAACGGGAAUCGCGCACCAGGGAGCUCCCGGCGUUUCUCCCCUACGUGGGGCGGCGCGAGGAGCCUCCCGGCCACGGAGCGAAACCACCAGGGGCCGGAAGGCUGGAACCCGAGUCGCUGCCCCCUGUCCGCAUCCCUCCUGCCCUUGGCCUCUGCAGGGUCUACGGGUUACUCUGCGUACUUCAUCUUGAAUACAAGCCUCCAAUUAAGUUUGGGGUUUGCUCUUUGCAGAGCUGAGUUUCUUGGCCAGUGAUUUUCUGGUGUCUAGAGACUUUCCAGUUUGGGGGAAGCCUGCCGCGCAGUUCGGGGUUCGGAUAAUUAGAUGUCUCCCGCGUUUAAUCCUAGAAGUAGUUUCGCGUCUUUACGCUCCCAAGUGCCUCCUCGAGCCCGCUUGGCCGCGUCUUGAGCCGUCUCAAAGGCAGAGUGUCUUGGAGGCGCUGAGAGCAAACUUCCGGGGUGCAGUGGAGUCGAGGUAUGGGAACAGCGGCCCCGACUUGUUCGACGCGCUCAAGAUCACAAAGCUGUCUGGUGACAGAGCCAGGGAAGGUUUCCUCCCCUUCCCCAACCAGCUUCCCCGUGUUCCUUUCUGAAUAAAUGCCUUGGACAGUAGUCCUCAUCUCCACGCCUGCGCUGGAGAAGUCAGGACCUAAUUGGGAAGA